ACUUGCUGAAAAUGAAAAGAGUCGAGGUUUUGCAGUGGCCCCGUCAAAGUCCAGACCUCAGCUUGAUUGAAGUGCUGUGACCUUAUGAAAGAAUUCCCCCCCAAACCUCAAUGAACUGGAGCAACACUAUAAAGACGAACCGGCCAAAAUUCCUCCAAUGAUGUGAGACUGAAGGUCGUGCAGUCAAUAAUGACUUCAUUGCUGUUCAAGGCGGUUCUACAAACUCUUUAUCAAUGUAUGUUUGUUUUAAGAUCACGCCAGACAGCUCACAAAGUCCAUGAUGAGGAAGCCAACCAUAGACAAGCUGACGUCUAACAGAGAGGCUGAUGUCAAUAACUUUGUCAAGUUCAUCACCAAAGACUCUAUUCAGAAGUCACUGGGCAUGUAUCUGGAGAUGCUUAAAAGAAGAAAGGCUUAGAGAGGGAAAACAUAUUUGCACACUAGAGUGACUUUGUUGCACCAGUUACAAAUGUGGACCAGAACAUGGGGUGAUCUGACAUUAAAGAGUGAGCAGUGUUUGGGGGAUAAAACACGUAGCAUUUACACCUUAAGGGUUUUAAAAUAAAAAUGCAUGAAGUUAGGGUGUGACUUUUUGUUUUUGUUUAAAGAACUGUACACUCAGGCAACCUGUCAAGCCCUCUCCAUCACUCAGCAUUAACUGCAGUGUGGUUACGUAAGCAAACUGCUAAUUGUUGCAAGAAAAAAGUCUCAGUCACAAAA